rnacentral:rRNA from 1 species
AGGUAGUAAAAUAUUUAUUAAACCUAUUUAAUUUGGCGGCAUAACAUCUUAUUAGAGGAAUUUGUCUAUUAAUUGAUAAUCCGCAAUAAAUUUUACUUUUUUAAAUAAUUUAUAUACCGCCAUCUAAAGAAUUAAUUUUUAAAUAUUAUUCAUAAUAAUUAUUAAAAAGUUAGGUCAAGGUGUAGUUUACAAAAAAGCAUAGAUGAAUUACAUUAAAGUUAAUUUAAGAAUUAAAUAAAUAAAUUUUUUUAUGAAAAAGGAUUUAAAAGUAAAUAUUUAAUAAUAUUAAUAAUUGAAUUAGAUAGAAAUGUGU